rnacentral:misc_RNA from 1 species
AGCAAAUAUGCCUGCACAUUCUUUGUGGAGGAAUAUCCAAAACCCAAGUCAUGGAGGUCCUUCUUACGAGGUUGGUAAUUCACCACAGCUGGUCAAUGGUUCUGCUAGUCCUGGAUUUGUCAGGGGUAUAAUGGAAAAUGGCCCUAGGUUGCAAUCUGGAAUGGAGAACCAAAAUGCUUGGCUUGAUUCUUCACAGAAAAAGAUGGUCUUUGAUGGUUUUUCCAUUCCUGAAUAUUCUCUUGCACCAUCUCAGAACUUGAUCUCAAAUGCUCACAACCAGGGAAAUCA